AAACUAAAAGAAAAUCAGUUUAUUUAACGGCUUUUAAGUUAAUAACAAUAGAAUAAAUUACAAUUAAUUAAACACUAAUUACAAUUUAACGCAGAUUGACGCCAAGAAAUGAGAAAACAAAAUCCAGUCACAGCUCAGCUCAUAAACCGCCACCGUUUUUUUACAAAAAUUCAGCAACCUUCCAUAUAAAUACCCGAAGUUUUGAUCUACAACAGUUUCGGUUUCCGAUCAUUCUGUGUGUCUCCAGCCAUGGCGUUGAGAUCCUCUGGUAGAAAGUUCUCCUUCAAUAUUCUAAGCGAUAGCAGCUCCGUUGAAGAAGAUGAAUGCCUUCUUUACCAAUCCAAUACGGAUCCGAUCGAGAAAGUUUCCGGUUCUCCGGAGAAGCCGAAUCGGAAAAAGAAGAGACAUAGAAAGAAGAAACUUCCCGAAUCGUACUCCAUGAUCCCUGAAGAUCCGAUCACAGACUCGGGCUUCACCGAUUCCAAUUCCGCUGUUCAGAACGGAAACGUGUUUUUGGAAAACCGAAGCAGUUUUGUUGGAGGUGGGAGUGUGGUGUGUACAGUGAGUGACGUGACGGAGGUUGCGGAGUGCCAAAGUGUGUUUAAUAACAGUGGUAGUGAGUUGAGGCAGAGGAAUGUGAGCAAUGGCGGAGGAGAAGGAGGAGGAGAGGAGAUGGUGUCGUCGUCUUCGCGGGUGGAGGAGAAUGGGACGGUGGAUAAAGAAGUGGAGGUGAGUUCGGCAGAGAAACAGUGGAGUCAGCCCAAUGGGAAUAUUGUUCCGACUGUGAAGUUAGAACCGGCGGAGUCAUUGGAUUGGAAACGGCUCAUGGCGGAGAAUCCUAAUUUUCUCUUUUCAGUGGAGACUUCACCGGUGAAGUACUUUAUGGAUGAAAUGUAUAAAGGAAAUUCAUUGAGGAGCACAACAACUCUUGGCAGUGAGAAGGAAAGGGAGAGGGUGUAUGAUACUAUCUUUCGCUUGCCGUGGAGAUGUGAAUUGCUCAUAGACGUCGGCUUCUUUGUAUGCUUGGAUUCAUUUCUAUCACUGUUAACUAUCAUGCCAACAAGGAUUCUAAUGACCCUUUGGAGGCUUCUAAGUGCAAGGCAGUUCAAGAAGCCUUCUGCAGCAGAGCUUUCUGAUGUUGGCUGCUUUCUUGUGUUGGCUUCAGGUGUUGCUCUUUUGGAGCGCACAGAUAUCAGCUUAAUAUAUCACAUGAUCCGUGGUCAAGGAACAAUCAAACUCUAUGUGGUUUACAAUGUUUUAGAGAUAUUUGAUAAACUAUGUCAAAGUUUUGGUGGAGAUGUGUUGCAGACUCUAUUUAACUCUGCGGAAGGGCUUGCUACUUGUUCAGAAGAAAAUACAAGAUUCUGGAUUUGGAGAUUUAUCUCUGAUCAGGCUUUGGCUAUGGCCUUUUCAAAUAUCCUUAAUCUGGAAUUAAUUUUUCCCUGUUUAUUAGUGUCAUUGAUGUGUUAUAUCUCCAUUUGGUUCCUUGACAAUUCUUACUUUAGUGUCAUUGAUGUGUUAUAUCUCCAUUUGGUUCCUUGACAAUUCUUACUUCUUCAUUCUUUCAUUUUAUUAGCUCAGUCAAUCACUUUAUCAACUUGUAUUGUUGCUCAUAAUAAUGCCUUGCUGGCUUUGCUAGUUUCCAAUAACUUUGCUGAGAUUAAAAGCAAUGUCUUUAAACGUUUCAGUAAGGAUAAUAUUCACAAUCUGGUGUAUUCUGGUAAGUUUGCGGAAUUGUUCCUUUCAUCUACAGUCCUUUAAAUGAUGGUUGAAGCUAUCUUCUGUUUUCAUGUAUUUGUUGAAUAGUGGCUUUGGCUACAAGUUUAAGUAGAUAUAUUAAAUGCAUGGGAAUGGGGAUGUGUUGGCUUAGUGGCUUGCUUAUUAUUGUCCCCAAAUUCCUCUAGAAAAAAUGUUCUAUACCUAUCAAGUAUGCAAAUUGGAGUCUCUCCUAGUUAUUUCGAAACAUUUUAAAUAAAAUAUGCAAAUUGCUGUGACUUCCUAAAUAUUUUCAAAACAUUUAUACCUUUAUCCAUUUUAUCCAGUUAAAUGUUGAUCCACUACACUUUUGUCAGUUUGCUGUUUUAUGUUUGUCCUUUAUGUAGUGCAUUUUAAGCCUAUCAACUUUGAAUUAACCCUAUUAGCAUCGAUGUAAAAGCUGAAAAAUCUGUAUAACUUGUGCUAUUAUGAAAUUUAGAAGUUUUCUGGAUAUGCAUGUUCUUGGUUUUGUUGGCUCUGGAAGUUUGUUGGACCAGCAGUUGAAUUCAUGGUGGUCGUUUUACUUUGGCUAAUCACAUUCCUUUCUUGUUCUUGGAUCCUGUUACUAUGUCUAAAAGGUCCUCUAGAUGCAGCUAGUGCAUUUAAAUUUCAAGCAAUUUCUUGUGGUGCAACUAUGUUUAUGUUGUCUUAUGUAUUUCAUUAUGCCACUGCUUUUCACCAGAUUCAGUUGAGAGAUUCCACAUUUCAGCAUUU
rnacentral:misc_RNA from 1 species